rnacentral:rRNA from 1 species
AUUGAACGCUGGCGGCGUGCUUAACACAUGCAAGUCGAGCGGUAACAGGCGUAGCAGUACGUGCUGACGAGCGGCGAACGGGUGAGUAAUGCUUCGGAAUCUUCCUUGUAGUGGGGAAUAACCUGGGGAAACUCAGGCUAAUGCCGCAUACGAACCAUGGUUGAAAGCGGGGGAUCGCAAGACCUCGCGCUAUAAGAUGAGCCGAAGUCGGAUUAGCUAGUUGGUGGGGUAAAGGCCUACCAAGGCGACGAUCCGUAGCUGGUCUGAGAGGACGACCAGCCACACUGGGACUGAGACACGGCCCAGACUCCUACGGGAGGCAGCAGUGGGGAAUAUUGGACAAUGGGGGCAACCCUGAUCCAGCGACGCCGCGUGUGUGAAGAAGGCCUGCGGGUUGUAAAGCACUUUUAGUGGGGACAAAAAGCCGAGGGCUAAUACCUUUCGGUCUUGAUUUAACCCAAAGAAAAAGCACCGGCUAACUCUGUGCCAGCCGCCGCCGUAAGAC